CCUACGGGUGGCAGCAGUGGGGAAUAUUGCACAAUGGGGGAAACCCUGAUGCAGCGACGCCGCGUGAGUGAGGAAGUAUUUCGGUACGUAAAGCUCUAUCAGCAGGGAAGAAAAUGACGGUACCUGACUAAGAAGCCCCGGCUAACUACGUGCCAGCAGCCGCGGUAAUACGUAGGGGGCAAGCGUUAUCCGGAUUUACUGGGUGUAAAGGGAGCGUAGACGGCAGAGCAAGUCAGAAGUGAAAUGCCGGGGCUCAACCCUGGCACUGCUCUUGAAACUGUGUAGCUAGAGUGCAGGAGAGGUAAGCGGAAUUCCUGGUGUAGCGGUGAAAUGCGUAGAUAUUAGGAGGAACACCAGUGGCGAAGGCGGCUUACUGGACUGUAACUGACGUUGAGGCUCGAAGGCGUGGGGAGCAAACAGGAUUAGAUACCCGAGUAGUC
rnacentral:rRNA from 1 species